rnacentral:rRNA from 1 species
CAGCCGCCGCGGGAACACAGAGGGUGCGAGCGUUAAUCGGAUUUACUGGGCGUAAAGCGUGCGUAGGCGGCUUCUUAAGUCGGAUGUGAAAUCCCUGAGCUUAACUUAGGAAUUGCAUUCGAUACUGGGAAGCUAGAGUAUGGGAGAGGAUGGUAGAAUUCCAGGUGUAGCGGUGAAAUGCGUAGAGAUCUGGAGGAAUACCGAUGGCGAAGGCAGCCAUCUGGCCUAAUACUGACGCUGAGGUACGAAAGCAUGGGGAGCAAACAGGAUUAGAUACCCCCGUAGUCCCUGUCUCUUAUAC